rnacentral:tRNA from 1 species
ACCGAAAUAGCUUAGUUCGAACAGUGUUAGAGUAUAGAUCGAAAUGUCCCUGGUUCGGUCCCGGGUUCCGGCA